rnacentral:rRNA from 1 species
UACGAAGGGGGCUAGCGUUGUUCGGAAUUACUGGGCGUAAAGCGCACGUAGGCGGAUAUUUAAGUCGGGGGUGAAAUCCCGGGGCUCAACCCCGGAACUGCCUUCGAUACUGGGUAUCUUGAGUUCGGAAGAGGUGAGUGGAAUUGCGAGUGUAGAGGUGAAAUUCGUAGAUAUUCGGAAGAACACCAGUGGCGAAGGCGACACACUGGCCCGUAACUGACGCUGAGGCGCGAAAGCGUGGGGAGCAAACAGG